AUGCGUAUUGAUCAUGGUGACCGGAUGAGGCGGUGCUUCAGGAGCUGGAACUGCAGCUCAGGAUUCCCAUUGGUUCCUCAUGGCAAAGGCGAGGACAUGCUUGUUGAAGUUCCCAUCACCAGGUCCUCGAACACAUCACCCUCCUGUGUCCUCGGAACAUUCUCCUGCCCCUCAGCGUUCUCUCUAAAACCCAGGGUGCCCAGAAUGGAAUCUAACACAGCGACAGACGGCAAUACUAACGGCAGCUGGGAUCGACGGGCAGGUGUCUCUCGUGGGCCCAUCGUCUAGGGGCUGAGCUGCCGAGAAAAUGAUAACUUCAUCAGCUGUGGAAAAUCUGGUCUGUUUUCAUCAAAAAUGCAAUGUCCCCCCAAAAGAAAAAUGUAAUGUAAAAAAUGUAACAUCCCCCCAAAAGAAAAAUACAAUGUCCCCUCAAAAGACAAAUGUAAUGUAAAAAAUGUAACAUCCCCCCAAAAGAAAAAUACAAUGUCCCCUCCAAAGAAAAAUGUACAUCCCCCAAAAGAAAAAUGCAUGUCUCCCAAAAGAAAAUGUUAUGUCCCCCCAAAGAAAAAUGCAUGUCCCCCUAAGAAAAUGUAUGUAAAAAAUGUAACAUCUCUCCAAAGAAAAAUGCCAUGUCCCUCCAAAGAAAAAGUAAUGCCCCCCAAAAGAAAAAUGAAAAUCCCCCCAAACCGAGGGGGGAAACCAAACAUUCAAAAGAGCUGGGUGUGUUAAGCACCCAUUGUGCGCAAGGCCAGGGCACCUGAGGGACAGCCAGUGUGUAUAAGGAAAGGAUUUCCUAUGAAGGGGCUUUUCUUACUUGGGGAGGAAAAAGAUGACCCUCCAAGCUGCUGGUAAAGAAAUGGCCUUUGGUGAUUGGCAUCUCCUUUUCCCUGAAGUAAGUCACUGGGGCGGCAUUUGGAGAGGGAAAGGGGGAGCCCCCCCCCAGCACAUUAUUACUGAGCAGCACUUACUUGUAGGUGAAAAAUUAUUCUAAUUUAUGUUGAGCUUUUCAUUUAAUUGUCACUCGCUGAGAGGCCUUUUGCAAUACUGAUUCCCUCUCGGCAGUUACAGAUGGAUCUUGGCUCCAGAAAUUCCCUGCCCGCGGUUACAAUGAGGCAUCGUGACAGUGGACACACCGGGCCCCCACCUCCAGAUGCCCCCAAGCGAGGUUCUGACAAGGCCUGGCCAGGACAGAUAAUCUUAUGGAAGGAAAGCAUUCUAAGAAAAUGAAGAAACGGGGCAGCUGGGUAGCUCAGUGGAUUGAGAGCUAGCCCUAGAGAGGGCAGGUCCA
rnacentral:lncRNA from 1 species